UUUUUUAAACACCACAAACUCAUGUCCGGAAAAGAAAAAGGUGAAACUAAUCUACGCCUGUUCUGAUAAAAACCUUAGGGCAUUUAGCCUCAGGGGAUGCCUUGCUUGACCACACCCUCCUUCCUUGCUCCUGGUCUGCCCUGCCUCUUCCACCAAUCCAUUUGUUUUUUUUAUGGACAGAAAAGAGUAGAAGCUCUGAGCUGUCCGAUCUGGUCCAUUGUUUACUGAGGUGGCCCAAGGAGAACUCCUGAUUGACAUGUAUACUAUGGUGCAUUGAGUUGGUUGCAACCUCACCAGUGCGCUGACAAUAAACAAUGAUUGAUUUAAGAUUGACUUCGAGUGUCCCUGUUUAAGAAUUUCCACAACAUAAGUAUACCGGAAGUUCUAUUAGCAUACUUGGGAGGUCUGGAAAACGAAGCACACAUGGGAGCAUACUUUUUAGUUCCCUUCGCCAGGGAAGCUAUCCCAUAACACUUUGCAACACAGCAACAAAAAAAAUGUAAGGAAUAAAUAACUUUGUUAAAUGGACAGAUGGCAACUGAUGCGUUCCUUUCAUUCCAUGGCAGGA